rnacentral:rRNA from 1 species
GGAAUUCCCGGUGUAGCGGUGGAAUGCGUAGAUAUCGGGAGGAACACCAGUGGCGAAGGCGGCCUACUGGGCACCAACUGACGCUGAGGCUCGAAAGUGUGGGUAGCAAACAGGAUUAGAUACCCUGGUAGUCCACACCGUAAACGAUGAUUACUAGGUGUUGGAGGAUUGACCCCUUCAGUGCCGCAGUUAACACAAUAAGUAAUCCACCUGGGGAGUACGACCGCAAGGUUGAAACUCAAAGGAAUUGACGGGGGCCCGCACAAGCAGUGGAGUAUGUGGUUUAAUUCGACGCAACGCGAAGAACCUUACCAAGUCUUGACAUCCUGCGACGAUGCUGGAAACAGUAUUUUCCUUCGGGACGCAGAGACAGGUGGUGCAUGGUUGUCGUCAGCUCGUGUCGUGAGAUGUUGGGUUAAGUCCCGCAACGAGCGCAACCCUUACUGUCAGUUACUACGCAAGAGGACUCUGGCAGGACUGCCGUUGACAAAACGGAGGAAGGUGGGGAUGACGUCAAAUCAUCAUGCCCUUUAUGACUUGGGCUACACACGUACUACAAUGGCGUUAAACAAAGAGAAGCAAGACCGCGAGGUGGAGCAAAACUCAGAAACAACGUCCCAGUUCGGACUGCAGGCUGCAACUCGCCUGCACGAAGUCGGAAUUGCUAGUAAUCGUGGAUCAGCAUGCCACGGUGAAUACGUUCCCGGGCCUUGUACACACCGCCCGUCACACCAUGAGAGCCGGGGGGACCCGAAGUCGGUAGUCUAACCGCAAGGAGGACGCCGCCGAAGGUAAAACUGGUGAUUGGGGUGAAGUCGUAACAAGGUAGCCGUA